CCCCCCAUAUUUCUUGGAGAAUUCAGAUCUCAUUGUUCAUUUCUCGUGGCACUUAUUCUUGGUACAUUUUUGGUCAUGGAAGUACUCGUAGCUAUGCUUUACAUGUUUAUUCCACUGUGAAUAGCUUAUAACAAUGAUCAUGGUUUUGGCAGUGGGACUGAGGCUUGUAAUUUUGAGAUGUGACAUGUGAUUAAUUGAAAGUAGAUCUUUUGCGGUUUAGUUUAAGCCUUUAAAGGCAAGAGGGAUUCCAUUUUGAGUAUUAUCUAAUUUGAAGUUGCUAUAGAUUGACAUUGUUUUAGAUCUGAAGCUUAGCUAUGAUUUCAUUGUUGCUUGAUAUGUUGACAUCUAAUCCUUAUUCUUCUAAGAGAAUCUUGUGAAAAUAAGCAUUUUUGCUCAUGGAAAUUUAGUUCUU
rnacentral:lncRNA from 1 species